GGAAAGAACACAAACCCUAGGUGGGAAAAUUGAAGAAAAAGUGUGGGAUUUCAAGGAUUAAGCUAAUUUGUGGAGGGGCAUUUUAGUAAUUUCUAAGGAAGUGGAUAAGCUUGGGCCAUAAAUAUCCUUUCCUUCUAGCAACUUCUUGGGAAUUCUAGCAGCUUCUUCUUCUUGUUCUCUUCCCUCUCACGUUUCUUCAAUUCUUCCAUGGAAGCUUGAUGUGAAGCUUUCAUAACUUUCUCUCUCUAGUUCUAAUUUUCAUACCUUGGUGCCCUUUUGACUAGAACCCUUGUAUUCUUCCACUCUCUCACUUUAAAACCCUUGAAAAUGAUGAAAAUCUUGUUUCCAUAAUCUUUCACUAGUUAGGUGUUUUAGGGAAAGAAAGAGGAAGCUUUAUUAAUAGCUUGAGAGCUUUUGGAAAGAAGUUCAAAGUUACAAAGCUAUCAAGGUG
rnacentral:lncRNA from 1 species